rnacentral:rRNA from 1 species
GUGGGGAAUAUUCCGCAAUGGACGAAAGUCUGACGGAGCAACGCCGCGUGAGUGAUGAAGGUUUUCGGACUGUAAAGCUCUGUUGUUUAGGACGAAAGUGCCUGUUGCGAAUAGUUACAGGUAUUGACGGUACUGAACGAGGCAGCCACGGCUAACUACGUGCCAGCAGCCGCGGUAAUACGUAGGUGGCAAGCGUUGUCCGGAAUUAUUGGGCGUAAAGGGCAUGUAGGCGGGAAUCUAAGUCUGUUGUUAAAAGGCGGGGCUCAACCCCGUAUUGCGAUGGAAACUGGGUUUCUUGAGUGCAGGAGAGGAAAGGGGAAUUCCCAGUGUAGCGGUGAAAUGCGUAGAAAUUGGGAGGAACACCAGUGGCGAAGGCGCCUUUCUGGACUGUGUCUGACGCUGAGAUGCGAAAGCCAGGGUAGCGAACGGGAUUAGAAACCCCUGUAGUCC